AAAAAAAACACGUAUAAGGAAACACAAACACAAGCAUAAACCCUCUCAUUCAAUUCCGAAGUUUAAGGAGCAGUUUCCUAAAUUGCCGACUGCUUCAGUGAAGAUGAAGAGAAUGAUAGCUUUGGGGUUUGAGGGUUCAGCAAAUAAGAUUGGUGUUGGUGUGGUUACCUUAGAUGGCACAAUUCUGUCAAACCCACGCCACACAUACAUCACUCCUCCUGGUCAAGGCUUUCUCCCAAGAGAGACAGCACAACACCAUCUCCAGCAUGUUCUUCCCCUUGUCAAAUCCGCUUUAGAAAUUGCAAAGGUCACUCCUCAGGACAUUGACUGUCUCUGCUACACAAAGGGUCCUGGCAUGGGAGCUCCUCUGCAAGUCUCUGCUAUUGUUGUUCGUGUGCUCUCACAGCUUUGGAAGAAGCCAAUUGUUGGUGUUAAUCACUGUGUGGCACACGUUGAGAUGGGAAGGAUUGUAACCGGUGCUGAUGACCCUGUUGUCUUGUAUGUCAGUGGUGGCAACACUCAAGUCAUUGCUUACAGUGAGGGGCGUUAUAGAAUCUUCGGAGAGACCAUUGAUAUUGCUGUGGGAAAUUGCUUGGAUCGCUUUGCACGGGUCUUGAAUCUUUCCAAUGAUCCAAGCCCCGGAUAUAACAUUGAGCAGGUUGCAAAAAAAGGAGAAAAGUUUAUAGACCUGCCUUAUGUUGUCAAAGGGAUGGAUGUAUCUUUUAGUGGAAUCUUGAGCUAUAUUGAAGCAACUGCUGUUGAAAAGCUAAAGAAUAAUGAGUGCACGCCUGGAGAUUUGUGCUACUCUUUGCAGGAGACACUGUUUGCUAUGCUUGUGGAGAUCACUGAGCGAGCUAUGGCUCAUUGUGACACAAAAGAUGUUCUUAUAGUUGGUGGUGUGGGUUGCAAUGAGCGGUUGCAAGAGAUGAUGAGAAUCAUGUGCUCUGAACGUGGUGGAAGAUUGUUUGCUACUGAUGAUCGGUAUUGCGUUGACAAUGGAGCAAUGAUAGCUUAUACUGGUCUCCUUGAAUUUGCUCAUGGUGCAUCAACUUCACUAGAGGAUUCAACAUUCACCCAGCGGUUUCGGACAGAUGAAGUGAAAGCAAUAUGGAGAGAAGCAACUUUGGAAAAAUUGAAUGGUCUUGCAGAGAAGAACAUUUGAUUUCUCAAUCUUUGAGGUGCAGUCAUUCUUGUACUGUUGUGCACUUAAUCAGACCUUUAGCGUAGAAUAUUUAGCAUGUAUUUGAGUCUGAUUCUGAGUGCUCAUUGGUAACUUAGUACAAAAAGAACAUGAGACUGCUUGGUAUUCACAAAUUAACCUCCUUCAAGCUCAAUAGUUAUUCGCACAGUGAAUUUAUGUAUGAAAAAACACGUCAACGUGUUUGAUAUUUUGUUGUAUUAUUCAGUGGUGCUGCAACAGUGGCAUCCACACCAGGAUGUACCAGGGUCUAGCAAUGACACUGGCUUUUGUUCCAAAGUCAGUGUAAAUCUUUUACAGUGUCCUUGUUCAAGUGACUUAACAGUAGCUCUUUUCUCACAGACUUUCUCUAAAACUUGUCCGUGUAAUAUGUCUAUUUUUCA